UUUAUGAAUGAGAUGACAUGAACGUUGGUGAUGUAUUGAAGGGUUGAAUCUACGUGACGACACAUCAAAUUGUUGAGGUAAUACUAAUGAAAAUAUAACAGUAUUUACGAUGUAAAGAUAACAUAAAUGAGUAAAGAGGCUACCGACACCAAUUCCUAAGUAAAAAAAACAAACAAGAAAUGCCAUAGCUUGAAAAUAAAAUAAAAAAACAAUUAAAAAGACAAAUACCAGUAUACAAAACACGACAUCAAAAUAUUAAGACUUGGAAACAGGGACUCUACCUAUACCAAUGAUGAUGUCAGGUGUUCGAGUGAAGUACGUACAUAGUUAUCAAAUGUACUAGGCUAAUAACUAAAUACGCCAGACGUGUGUUUCGUCUACAUAAGACGCAUCAGUGACGCUCAGAUCAAAAGAGUUAUAAUGCCAAACAAGUACAAAGUUGAAGAGCAUUAAGGAUCCAAAAUUCCAACAAGUUGUGCCAAAUACGGCUAACAAAUACAGUAAGGGUUGAUGAAUUUAGUUUUUAUGGGUCAUAGCAUUAACAUUUGUAUUAUGAUAAAAAGGGAUCUAACUAAUAAGCUUCAAGAAGCGUAAAAAACGAAAACAGCAGUAUAUAAAUUGCAUUCGUCCGAUGCGCUUUUCUAGGAUAACCUUCAUUAGGAUAGCUUUAAGCCGAAUAUUUAAAAACCAAAGAAGUAUAAGAACCAAGACAGUUGAAGAGCUAUUGGACAAAAUAGACAUAACAAAUAGUCAAACUCAUAUUAGGUUAACUUUGAGUGAGUUUAGUUUCUUUAUUAUGUAAAAAGUUAUAAACUCACAGUGUAGCUAUAAAAUCAGCCAAUAAGCGAAACAUGCGAAAACAAUACCGAUUUAAUUUGCAACAAGAAGACUAGUUAAGAGACAUCAAAACUGAAAACUAAUUACUUCGAAUAAUUAUUUGCCUAAGAAUAGAUUUUGGAAUAUUAUGCGGCUGUGAGAUUGUUGAGCUAGCUAUAAAACAAGGUUUUAUCCACCAUUUUCUGCAUACUAAAUCAGGAAUAUGACAUUUGUAGUCCAUUCGUAUGAUGGGUUUGACCUUUAAAUUUGCGAUUUGAUUAGUGACUUUCCGUUUUGAAAUUUCCUCAGAGCUCGGUAUUUUUGUUAUUUUACUUUUUGGGAAGUCUUGCUUAUUUUUAAACAUAAGGAGUUAGUUUACUUAUGAACAGGAAGGAAAUCAUUUAAAGAAAAUGCAAGCCCUGAAAUAGUUUACCAACUAGGUCCAACCAAUCCAUAUACAGGUGAUGAUAAUAUAUUAUGACUUUGAACAAAGAAAUAGAAAGUUUCCAAUUGAGAAUCUGCAAUCAUCUCCUUUUUCGUAAAGUUUUGUUCUAAGCCAACUCAACUGUGAAUUUAAAGAUAUAAUUCAUCUAUGAGGCAGAACUAUCU
rnacentral:lncRNA from 1 species